CGAAAGCCUGACGGAGCAAGACCGCGUGAGGGAAGAAGGUCUUUGGAUUGUAAACCUCUUUUCUCAAGGAAGAAGUCAGUGACGGUACUUGAGGAAUCAGCAUCGGCUAACUCCGUGCCAGCAGCCGCGGUAAUACGGGGGAUGCAAGCGUUAUCCGGAAUUAUUGGGCGUAAAGCGUUCGUAGGCGGUUUUAUAAGUCUGCUGUCAAAGUGCGGAGCUCAACUCCGUAAGAGCAGUGGAAACUGUGAGACUUGAGUGUGGUAGGGGUAGAGGGAAUUCCCAGUGUAGCGGUGAAAUGCGUAGAUAUUGGGAAGAACACCGGUGGCGAAAGCGCUCUACUGGGCCAUAACUGACGCUGAGGGACGAAAGCUAGGGGAGCG
rnacentral:rRNA from 1 species